rnacentral:rRNA from 1 species
GAUGAACGCUAGCGGCAGGCCUAACACAUGCAAGUCGAGGGAGAGGUUAUCUUCGGGUAACCAAAACCGGCGCACGGGUGCGUAACGCGUAUACAAUCUGCCUUUCACAUAGGGAUAGCCCGAAGAAAUUUGGAUUAAUACCUAAUGGUAUAUAAGAGCGGCAUCGUUUUUAUAUUAAAGCUACGGUGGUGAAAGAUGAGUAUGCGUUCUAUUAGCUAGUUGGAGAGGUAACGGCUCCCCAAGGCGACGAUAGAUAGGGGUUCUGAGAGGGAUGUCCCCCACACUGGUACUGAGAUACGGACCAGACUCCUACGGGAGGCAGCAGUGAGGAAUAUUGGACAAUGGGCGCAAGCCUGAUCCAGCCAUGCCGCGUGUGUGAAGAAGGCCUUUUGGUUGCAAAGCACUUUAAGCGAGGAGGAGGCUACUUGGAUUAAUACUCUAGGAUAGUGGACGUUACUCGCAGAAUGAGCACCGGCUAACUCUGUGCCAGCAGCCGCGGUAAUACAGAGGGUGCGAGCGUUAAUCGGAUUUACUGGGCGUAAAGCGUGCGUAGGCGGCUUUUUAAGUCGGAUGUGAAAUCCCUGAGCUUAACUUAGGAAUUGCAUUCUAUACUGGGAAGCUAGAGUAUGGGAGAGGAUGGUAGAAUUCCAUGUGUAGCGGUGAGAUGCUUAUAUAUUACACAGAACACCCAUAGCGAAAGCAUAUUACUAACAAUUUAUUGACGCUGAUGACGAAAGCGUGGGAGCGAACAGAUAGAUAUCCUUGUAGUCAAGGGCGAAUUCACAUUGGGCUGCAGCCGGGGGAUCCACUAGGUGCUACAGCGGCCGCACCGCGGAGCUCAAUUCGCCCUAAAAUGACUCAUAUUACGC